CUCAUUCUAGAAAGCCUCAUAUAUCAACACAAGCAUUUGAGUUAUGUCUUCAGCCAAAAAGUUACGACUGCAUUUUUAAAUUAUGUAGUUUUCCUGGGGUGUGAAACACAAUAAAUUUCACCAUUAUGUGAAUCUCAUGUAAAUUACAUGAUAAAAGCACAUGUAUGUGGGUGAUUUUGUGGUUACAGAUGUGAAUCACACAUGUAGAAAAUAUGUGAAUUACUAGUGAUGAACAUGUAAUACACAUGUCAUCACAAGGGAAUCACAUAGGAUUUCAACACACAACAUUCUCAAAUCACGCAUAUUUUGUAUGUGCUUUUUCAAAAAUCCUUCAUAUGUGAAAAUUUGUGUGAACCACAUGUGCAUUUUUCAGUUUGCAGUAAAUUCAUGUGAAAUCCACAAAUACAUAUUGAUCAACUGAUAAAUACUUUUUUGCAUUGAUUUAUACAGACCAAAUCAAGAAAGUGUACAAGGAUGUUGAUGUCUCUGACAUCAAAGUUUGCAUGGCACAAAAAUUGAAGGACACCAGGAGACGCGCUGAGAGGCAGCCAGGGCAAAACGAUGUACUGUAAACCAAUAGUCAAGUCGUCCUGUGGCUGGCUGAUCACGGUGCUGCAAUUUGUGUGUUGAAAUUGUUUGCUUUUCUUUAUUCUUUGAUCUUCCACAGAAUGUUGCUCAUUUAGAUAAGCAACAUUCUGAUUGUGAAUAGCUUUAAAGAGGAAUAAAUAAAUUUCUAAUUUUU